UGCCCAGCAACUCCUAUUCCUACCUUCUCGUGGUACUGGCUGGGGUUCGAGCGGAUAACCAACCCCGGAUAAUCAACCCGUAUGCUAACAGAGAAGA
rnacentral:ribozyme from 1 species